UUCGGUAAUGAUCUAUUGAACGCUUAUCGGAGCAUCUAGUUUCUAUAGCCCUGUUUGGCUGCCAUUUCUUUCCGUCUGACUUCUAUACCUAACCUUUUUAUGCGCCUAUCUCUUUCUCUUCUCCAUCUUCUGCAUCGCCUAAACCCCUCCAUCUUUUUCAUCUUCUCCACAAAACCCAAGCUCUCCAACAAACCCUAAGACAACAACAACAGUUUGUUUCGCAUUAAACAACCCCCUUGACGUCGAUCUGAUUCGAUUCAAGUUGUUCUUUGUGAUUCCAGUAAUGUGGGAGGUCUUACCGAGAUUCACAACUAGGGGUGAAAAUAUAAAACUCAAGGCAAUGCUUCCAUCCUAUAUGUCAUCUGAUGUCAAUUCAGGAAAAUUCUAAAACCUUGGCCUCAUUCUUGUUCAGGAAAAUUCUAAAACCUUGGCCUCAUUCUUGUUCAUGAAAAGUGAUUGAAUGUAGAAUUGUGAAGUCGUUGCUCCUGCUGGAAUUGCAUUGAAACCAAAUCAAGAAGUGGUUCCUUAAUCUGCAGCGAAGUGAGUUUCUUAAAAUCUUAAUAUGAAUGAGAUGGAAGCAACUGAAAUCUCUUACUUGAUAUAUGAGGUUUUUUUAAUUAGAAGAGAUUUUUGCGCUUAAGGUGGGAUUGAAGUGUUUUGCAAUAAGGUUAUUACUGGGAGCAUAGGCGUAGAGCUACUUUUUACAAGUGCAACAGUAUUGCUUAUGGCAACAAGGUUAUUUUUCGAUGUUGUUGAAUUGUACUUUUGCUCAGUCAGAAUUUCGUCGAAGCUUAUGAUCUCUCCAAGUCAUUUUCUUUUUUGGUUUCUUGGAUUUUUGGACGGAUAAUUUUGUAUUGAGCAAUGAAUUCAUAUUUGUAAUAAAACUACAAGGGUUAAUGCAUUUAAUGAAGUUAAU